CCAGGAGGAGGAGCCUCAGCCCAAGGCCAGGGCUCCCCAGGACCAGGCUUUGGGUUUGGGGCAUCCAGCAGGAUCAAGUCAAGAUGCUCCUAGGCACACGGUCCGGAGUUCAGUGAGGACAGCAGAGCGGGGGCAACAGACCGAAGGGUCCUCAGCAUGCAGGUGGCCCCGCGGACCGGAGGAUGGUGAAAGACAGGAAUAUGUUUCCCUCCGUGAAUUGCUAGCACGUCCUGAUGGUCCCUGAGCCAGACCCCCCGGCAGGGGUGCAGGACGUGCCAUGGGUCCUACGUCACCGCCCGUCCCACGCACCCACGCCCCCCGCUCUGGGUCGGGGUGUGGGCCCAGGCCUGCCUGCCUCUCAAGCCUCGAUCUUCCCAUGGCGAUCCACUGCCCUAGAUUUCCACGCCGUGAUUCCCAGCACGCGGGGUGCACCGAGCCCCGCAGAGCCGUCGGCCAUGCGCCCGAGUGAGGCCGUGAGCGCCCCGGAGCAGUCCCGAGCCACCCGCGUCCUCCCUCUUUCGAUUCCCAUCUCAGCGUUUCGCAACUUAUUUUUCUGUCUCUUUCGUGUCCUCCUUCCGCCAGUGAGUGUUGGUCUCAGGCACCCGGCAUUUCAAAACCUGUUCCAUGGCUUCCUCCCCAUCUGCCCCCACCCCAAGCCUGACUUUCUGUGCUCAUAAAAAAAAAAAAAAAAAGAAAAGAAAAGAAAAA